GACCUCGGAUCAGGCAGGGAUACCCGCUGAACUUAAGCAUAUCAAUA
rnacentral:rRNA from 1 species